AGCGGGGUAGUGUAGCCAGGCAACACACUGGGCUCAUAAUCCAGAGAUCGCGGGUUCAAAUCCAGCCUCCGCUA
rnacentral:tRNA from 1 species